AGUGAACGCUGGCGGUAGGCCUAACACAUGCAAGUCGAACGGCAGCACAGUAAGAGCUUGCUCUUACGGGUGGCGAGUGGCGGACGGGUGAGGAAUACAUCGGAAUCUACUUUUUCGUGGGGGAUAACGUAGGGAAACUUACGCUAAUACCGCAUACGACCUACGGGUGAAAGCAGGGGAUCUUCGGACCUUGCGCGAUUGAAAGAGGCGAUGUCGGAUUAGCUAGUUGGCGGGGUAAAGGCCCACCAAGGCGACGAUCCGUAGCUGGUCUGAGAGGAUGAUCAGCCACACUGGAACUGAGACACGGUCCAGACUCCUACGGGAGGCAGCAGUGGGGAAUAUUGGACAAUGGGCGCAAGCCUGAUCCAGCCAUACCGCGUGGGUGAAGAAGGCCUUCGGGUUGUAAAGCCCUUUUGUUGGGAAAGAAAAGCAGCAGGUUAAUACCCCGCUGUUCUGACGGUACCCAAAGAAUAAGCACCGGCUAACUUCGUG
rnacentral:rRNA from 1 species